AUGUAGAAGGAAAUGUAAAAAGAUAAUUUGAUACGAGUAAAUACCUUAUAUGAUUUUAUAUAAAUUUCGAAUUCCAUGGGGGUGUAGCAGUGAGGACUUCUGACUGCCGUAACAGUGAUUCCAUAAACAAUCAACUUAUUGUUUUAACAAAAUGGAGGUCCAUGUCCACACCCCCUUUUAUGAAAGAAAUCUACCUCUGGGUAGGUCUUAAAACUUUUUUAUUUUGUCCCUGUAAAGUGAAAAAAUGUAGGGUAUGCCCUACAUCUUUAAAUUAAAACUAAAUUUAAAAUUCAAAUGACCCCCCC
rnacentral:lncRNA from 1 species